GAUGAAGAACGUAGCAAAAUGCGAUAAGUAAUGUGAAUUGCAGAAUUCAGUGAAUCAUCGAAUCUUUGAACGCACAUUGCGCCCGCCAGUACUCUGGCGGGCAUGCCUGUUCGAGCGUCAUUUCAACCCUCAAGCACAGCUUGGUGUUGGGACUCGCGUUAAUUCGCGUUCCCCAAAUUGAUUGGCGGUCACGUCGAGCUUCCAUAGCGUAGUAGUAAAACCCUCGUUACUGGUAAUCGUCGCGGCCACGCCGUUAAACCCCAACUUCUGAAUGUUGACCUCGGAUCAGGUAGGAAUACCCGCUGAACUUAAGCAUAUCAAUAAGCGGAGGA
rnacentral:misc_RNA from 1 species